CAGAGAACGGGAAGGAAAGGCGGCCGAAGGAGAGGGCCAGCCAACGAGAGCAUACAGGUCACUGUGGUGGGUGGUAUAAGGGGCCUUGGUAACAAAACGGAUGGCACUGUGAAAGACUGCUUCCAGUUUGCUGAGUAGAGUAUUGGAAGCUAUUUUGUAGAUGACAUCGCCGAAGUCAAGGAUCGCUAGGAUAGUCAGUUUUACUAGGAGGACCUGAGCCCUAGGAUUAUGCCUCAGGACUACCUGGCCUGAUGACUCCUGUCUGUCCCCAGUCCGCUUGGUCUUGCUGCUGCUCCACUCCGUUCAUCUUUACCUCGAUCCUGACUAUUCUCCCAGUACCUGCCUCUGAAAAAUAUCCCGCAGCAUGAUGCUGCCACCACCAUGCUUCACUGUAGGAAUGGUGCCCUGUUUCCUCCAGAAGGGACUCUUUCCUGUACUCCCUGUUCACCCACGACUGCGUGGCCAUGCACGCCUCCAACUCAAUCAUCAAGUUUGCGGACGACACAACAAUGGUAGGCUUGAUUACCAACAACGACGAGACGGCCUACAGGGAGGAGGUGAG
ensembl:lncRNA